rnacentral:SRP_RNA from 2 species
GCCGGGUGUGGUGGCGGGCGCCUGUAAUCCCAGCUACUUGGGAGGCUGAGACAGGAGAAUUGCUUGAACCCAGGAGGCGGAGGUUGCAGUGAACCGAGAUCACACCACUGCACCCCAGCCUGGGCGAUGGAGCAAGACCCCGUCUCAA